rnacentral:rRNA from 1 species
UGUGAGCUCGAUGAGUAGGGCGGGACACGUGGUAUCCUGUCUGAAUAUGGGGGGACCAUCCUCCAAGGCUAAAUACUCCUGACUGACCGAUAGUGAACCAGUACCGUGAGGGAAAGGCGAAAAGAACCCCGGCGAGGGGAGUGAAAAAGAACCUGAAACCGUGUACGUACAAGCAGUGGGAGCACGCUUAGGCGUGUGACUGCGUACCUUUUGUAUAAUGGGUCAGCGACUUAUAUUCUGUAGCAAGGUUAACCGAAUAGGGGAGCCGAAGGGAAACCGAGUCUUAACUGGGCGUUAAGUUGCAGGGUAUAGACCCGAAACCCGGUGAUCUAGCCAUGGGCAGGUUGAAGGUUGGGUAACACUAACUGGAGGACCGAACCGACUAAUGUUGAAAAAUUAGCGGAUGACUUGUGGCUGGGGGUGAAAGGCCAAUCAAACCGGGAGAUAGCUGGUUCUCCCCGAAAGCUAUUUAGGUAGCGCCUCGUGAAUUCAUCUCCGGGGGUAGAGCACUGUUUCGGCAAGGGGGUCAUCCCGACUUACCAACCCGAUGCAAACUGCGAAUACCGGAGAAUGUUAUCACGGGAGACACACGGCGGGUGCUAACGUCCGUCGUGAAGAGGGAAACAACCCAGACCGCCAGCUAAGGUCCCAAAGUCAUGGUUAAGUGGGAAACGAUGUGGGAAGGCCCAGACAGCCAGGAUGUUGGCUUAGAAGCAGCCAUCAUUUAAAGAAAGCGUAAUAGCUCACUGGUCGAGUCGGCCUGCGCGGAAGAUGUAACGGGGCUAAACCAUGCACCGAAGCUGCGGCAGCGACGCUUAUGCGUUGUUGGGUAGGGGAGCGUUCUGUAAGCCUGCGAAGGUGUGCUGUGAGGCAUGCUGGAGGUAUCAGAAGUGCGAAUGCUGACAUAAGUAACGAUAAAGCGGGUGAAAAGCCCGCUCGCCGGAAGACCAAGGGUUCCUGUCCAACGUUAA